CCUACGGGGGGCUGCAGUAGGGAAUAUUGGGCAAUGGGCGAAAGCCUGACCCAGCCAUGCCGCGUGAGCGAUGACGGUCCUCGAGAUUGUAAAGCUCUUUUCUGAGGAAAGAACAUCCGGGGUAGGAAAUGACCCCGGCUUGACGGUACCUCAGGAAUAAGGAACGGCUAACUCCGUGCCAGCAGCCGCGGUAAUACGGAGGUUCCAAGCGUUGUUCGGAAUUACUGGGCGUAAAGGGAGCGUAGGCGGACAGGUCAGUCUAAAGUGGAAUCCCGGGGCUCAACCUCGGACUUGCUUCGGAUACUGCCUGUCUUGAGUUCGUGAUAGGAAGAUGGAAUUCAGGGUGUAGCGGUGAAAUGCACAGAUAUCCUGAGGAACACCGGUGGCGAAAGCGGUCUUCUGGCGCGAAACUGACGCUGAGGCUCGAAAGCGUGGGUAGCAAACGGGCUUAGAUACCCCUGUAGUC
rnacentral:rRNA from 1 species